CGAUUUCUUGCCUGACGUGAAGAAUUUUCUACGCGAUAUGGUGUACAGCUGGAGAGGAGAGAUUGGUUGGCUGAAGUGGGAAUUAAAGUUGGCGGCAACCGAUGCAUAUUCAAAUUUGAUAAUUUCAGAUAAAGAAAGUACAGGAGCGUGGUACUGCAUUGUUUAAUUCACAUUGUAGAUAAUGUUAAAAAAUUAUUAAUAGCGACAGGCGAAUAGGUACAACAACAAUAAAAUAUUGAACGGGGCUAAAAUUUAUGAUUCUCUAUAAUCUUGACAUGUUCAAUAAAAUAAAAUGAAAGAUAAAUAUAUCUGUAAUUCAAAGCCUUUUCUUGUUGAUAACAAAAAUUACACGUAGAAACUUCGUAGAUCUUAAAAUAUUCAAAUUCAAAAGGACCGCUUCUUGAUUCGAAGAAAGUAUCAAAAGUUCAACACACAGAUACAAAGAACCAGCUCGCCUACCUUUGUGAUUUGAAAGUAAAAGUAAUUUGUUCAGAACAGCAUUAACUUCUAAAAUAAUUUAGCUCCGUUUUGAUGUAACGUUUUAUUACUAAGUGAAAAGGAUGGUAUAAUGAAAAAUGUCUUCACUGAACGAGAGAAAAAUAAACGACGUUCGAGACAUUUGGAGUUGUAAUGGAGAAUCUGAUAAGGAAAAUCCAAAAGUUCCUAUUGAUAGCAAUGUCGAUAACAAAACCAAAAAUAAGUAUAAAACUUUGGAGAGGCACUUGAGUAUGAAAAAGACUAUAAGGAGGAAAAUGAUGAGAGAUCUACGUGAAAUUGGUGACGCGCAAUCCGAAGAAAAUGCCCAAAAUCAGAACGCUGGAUUUUUAGAUCAAAUCAAAAAUGAUCAGCCGCCUCCUGCAAAUAUUGACAAGCCUAGUUUGUGGAAGAGAUUGACCAAAGGAUGGGGACAUUAAUAUUCUGGUUAGAUAGCAGGUAUAGAUUGUCCAUUAUUUUGGAAAGUAUUGCCAAUGACUUUCAUUAAUUAGACUUUAAAUAUGGUGGGAUAUAUGCCUACCAUAUAAAUGUGAAAAAUAUGAGUGAUAAAUGCUUAUUUGCCUUAGAUAAUGUAUAGCUUUAAAAUGCGGUUCCUGUAAGUUUUGCAAUUACUAUCUUUCUUUGUGAGAAAAAUUUGUUUUCUACUCAUAAUACUUUUGUAAAUGAGAAAAAUCGAUUAAUGAUGGAUAUACACAAAAUAUAAUUUUACAGAAAAUUCCUACCAUUUUGGGAAUUCAUUCCACCAAUGGUGUGAAUAUUUUUAUAUAAAAAAAACCUUUGUUUAUCUUUUCCCAUUUCAUUUUGUAACAUUUACAUUUCACACCAUAUAGAGGGAGAAACAAAAAUGAAAACACCU